rnacentral:snRNA from 1 species
AAGAGAAAGAGAGAUUAC